CCUACGGGAGGCAGCAGUGAGGAAUCUUUGUCAAUGGGCGCGAGCCUGAUCCAGCCAAGUAGCGUGAAGGAUGACUGCCCUACGGGUUGUACACUUCUUUUAUAAAGGAAUAAAUUGAGGUACGUGUGCCUUUUUGUAUGUACUUUAUGAAUAAGGAUCGGCUAACUCCGUGACAGCAGCAGCGGUAAUACGGAGGAUCCGAGCGUUAUCGGGAUUUAUUGGGUUUAAAGGGAGCGUAGAUGGGUUGUUAAGUCAGUUGUGAAAGUUUGCGGCUCAACCGUAAAAUUGCAAGUGAUACUGGCAGUCUUGAGUACAGUUGAGGUAGGCGGAAUUCGGGGUGUAGCGGUGAAAUGCUUAGAUAUCACGAAGAACACCGAUUGCGAAGGCAGCUUACUAAACUGCCACUGACAUUGAUGCUCGAAAGUGUGGGUAUCAAACAGGAUUAGAUACCCCUGUAGUC
rnacentral:rRNA from 1 species